UUAUGGUUGGCUCAGACGGUAAAGAAUCUGCCUGAAAUGCAGGAGACCCAGGUUCGAUCCCUGGGUCGGGAA
rnacentral:tRNA from 1 species